rnacentral:rRNA from 1 species
GGGUGUGACUGCGUACCUUUUGUAUAAUGGGUCAGCGACUUAUAUUCUGUAGCAAGGUUAACCGAAUAGGGGAGCCGGAGGGAAACCGAGUCUUAACCGGGCGUUAAGUUGCAGGGUAUAGACCCGAAACCCGGUGAUCUAGCCAUGGGCAGGUUGAAGGUUGGGUAACACUAACUGGAGGACCGAACCGACUAAUGUUGAAAAAUUAGCGGAUGACCUGUGGCUGGGGGUGAAAGGCCAAUCAAACCGGGAGAUAGCUGGUUCUCCCCGAAAGCUAUUUAGGUAGCGCCUCGUGAAUUCAUCUCCGGGGGUAGAGCACUGUUUCGGCUAGGGGGCCAUCCCGGCUUACCAACCCGAUGCAAACUGCGAAUACCGGAGAAUGUUAUCACGGGAGACACACGGCGGGUGCUAACGUCCGUCGUGAAGAGGGAAACAACCCAGACCGCCAGCUAAGGUCCCAAAGUCAUGGUUAAGUGGGAAACGAUGUGGGAAGGCCCAGACAGCCAGGAUGUUGGCUUAGAAGCAGCCAUCAUUUAAAGAAAGCGUAAUAGCUCACUGGUCGAGUCGGCCUGCGCGGAAGAUGUAACGGGGCUAAACCAUGCACCGAAGCUGCGGCAGCGACACUGUGUGUUGUUGGGUAGGGGAGCGUUCUGUAAGCCUGCGAAGGUGGCCUGUGAGGGUUGCUGGAGGUAUCAGAAGUGCGAAUGCUGACAUAAGUAACGAUAAAGCGGGUGAAAAGCCCGCUCGCCGGAAGACCAAGGGUUCCUGUCCAACGUUAAUCGGGGCAGGGUGAGUCGACCCCUAAGGCGAGGCCGAAAGGCGUAGUCGAUGGGAAACGGGUUAAUAUUCCCGUACUUGGUGUUACUGCGAAGGGGGGACGGAGAAGGCUAUGUUGGCCGGGCGACGGUUGUCCCGGUUUAAGCGUGUAGGUGUGUGUUCCAGGUAAAUCCGGUUCACUUUAACACUGAGGCGUGACGACGAGGCACUACGGUGCUGAAGCAACAAAUGCCCUGCUUCCAGGAAAAGCCUCUAAGCAUCAGGUAACAUCAAAUCGUACCCCAAACCGACACAGGUGGUCAGGUAGAGAAUACCAAGGCGCUUGAGAGAACUCGGGUGAAGGAACUAGGCAAAAUGGUGCCGUAACUUCGGGAGAAGGCACGCUGACACGUAGGUGAAGUGAUUUACUCAUGGAGCUGAAGUCAGUCGAAGAUACCAGCUGGCUGCAACUGUUUAUUAAAAACACAGCACUGUGCAAACACGAAAGUGGACGUAUACGGUGUGACGCCUGCCCGGUGCCGGAAGGUUAAUUGAUGGGGUCAGCGCAAGCGAAGCUCCUGAUCGAAGCCCCGGUAAACGGCGGCCGUAACUAUAACGGUCCUAAGGUAGCGAAAUUCCUUGUCGGGUAAGUUCCGACCUGCACGAAUGGCGUAAUGAUGGCCAGGCUGUCUCCACCCGAGACUCAGUGAAAUUGAACUCGCUGUGAAGAUGCAGUGUACCCGCGGCAAGACGGAAAGACCCCGUGAACCUUUACUAUAGCUUGACACUGAACAUUGAGCCUUGAUGUGUAGGAUAGGUGGGAGGCUUUGAAGUGUGGACGCCAGUCUGCAUGGAGCCGACCUUGAAAUACCACCCUUUAAUGUUUGAUGUUCUAACGUGGACCCGUUACCCGGGUUGCGGACAGUGUCUGGUGGGUAGUUUGACUGGGGCGGUCUCCUCCUAAAGAGUAACGGAGGAGCACGAAGGUUGGCUAAUCCUGGUCGGACAUCAGGAGGUUAGUGCAAUGGCAUAAGCCAGCUUGACUGCGAGCGUGACGGCGCGAGCAGGUGCGAAAGCAGGUCAUAGUGAUCCGGUGGUUCUGAAUGGAAGGGCCAUCGCUCAACGGAUAAAAGGUACUCCGGGGAUAACAGGCUGAUACCGCCCAAGAGUUCAUAUCGACGGCGGUGUUUGGCACCUCGAUGUCGGCUCAUCACAUCCUGGGGCUGAAGUAGGUCCCAAGGGUAUGGCUGUUCGCCAUUUAAAGUGGUACGCGAGCUGGGUUUAGAACGUCGUGAGACAGUUCGGUCCCUAUCUGCCGUGGGCGCUGGAGAACUGAGGGGGGCUGCUCCUAGUACGAGAGGACCGGAGUGGACGCAUCACUGGUGUUCGGGUUGUCAUGCCAAUGGCACUGCCCGGUAGCUAAAUGCGGAAGAGAUAAGUGCUGAAAGCAUCUAAGCACGAAACUUGCCCCGAGAUGAGUUCUCCCUGAGACUUAGAGUCUCCUGAAGGAACGUUGAAGACGACGACGUUGAUAGGCCGGGUGUGUAAGCGCAGCGAUGCGUUGAGCUAACCGGUACUAAUGAACCGUGAGGCUUAACCUU